AUUGAACGCUGGCGGCAUGCUUUACACAUGCAAGUCGAACGGCAGCACGGGGGUAACCCUGGUGGCGAGUGGCGAACGGGUGAGUAAUGCAUCGGAACAUAUCUUAAAGUGGGGAAUAACGCAUCGAAAGGUGUGCUAAUACUCCAUAUACUCUAAGGAGGAAAGCGGGGGAUCGAAAGACCUCGUGCUUUAAGGGUGGCCGAUGUCUGAUUAGCUAGUUGGUGGGGUAAAGGCUUACCAAGGCGACGAUCAGUAGCUGGUCUGAGAGGACGAUCAGCCACACUGGGACUGAGACACGGCCCAGACUCCUACGGGAGGCAGCAGUGGGGAAUAUUGGACAAUGGGGGCAACCCUGAUCCAGCCAUGCCGCGUGGGU
rnacentral:rRNA from 1 species